AUCUAUCAAAAAUACCAAUUUACAAACAUUGGAUAAUUUGAUUGCAUCAAGAUGACUCCAAAAUAUGUCACGUACAACAUCUUCAUCCUUCAAUUUAUGCCAAUGAAUAUACUAAUCUCGUUCAAGAAGCUUUAUUAGUUGUUGCGUUUCAGUAUUACUGUCUCUUAUGGAAGAACGGUAUGCAUUUCUUGCAUUGUAUACUUGCUUGAUUGUUGUAUUACUAUUGACAUUAUGCUCCUUCAACAUUAGAAGAAUAUUUCUUGGUUUCACCAUUGACUUUGUCAUAUCAG
rnacentral:lncRNA from 1 species